UACGGAGGGUGCGAGCGUUGUCCGGAAUCACUGGGCGUAAAGGGCGCGUAGGCGGCCUGAUAAGUAGGGGGUGAAAUCCUGCGGCUUAACCGCAGGGCUGCCUUCUAAACUGUCAGGCUAGAGCACAGUAGAGGCAGGUGGAAUUCCCGGUGUAGCGGUGGAAUGCGUAGAGAUCGGGAAGAACAUCAGUGGCGAAGGCGGCCUGCUGGGCUGUUGCUGACGCUGAGGCGCGACAGCGUGGGGAGCAAACGAGG
rnacentral:rRNA from 1 species